rnacentral:rRNA from 1 species
GGGGAUCUUGCACAAUGGAGGAACUCUGAUGCAGCGAUGCCGCGUGAGUGAAGAAGGCCUUUGGGUUGUAAAGCUCUUUCGUCGGGGAAGAAAAUGACUGUACCCGAAUAAGAAGGUCCGGCUAACUUCGUGCCAGCAGCCGCGGUAAUACGAAGGGACCUAGCGUAGUUCGGAAUUACUGGGCUUAAAGAGUUCGUAGGUGGUUGAAAAAGUUGGUGGUGAAAUCCCAGAGCUUAACUCUGGAACUGCCAUCAAAACUUUUCAGCUAGAGUUUGAUAGAGGAAAGCAGAAUUUCUAGUGUAGAGGUGAAAUUCGUAGAUAUUAGAAAGAAUACCAAUUGCGAAGGCAGCUUUCUGGAUCAUUACUGACACUGAGGAACGAAAGCAUGGGUAGCGAAGAGGAUUAGAUACCCUCGUAGUCCAUGCCGUAAACGAUGUGUGUUAGACGUUGGAAAUUUAUUUUCAGUGUCGCAGCGAAAGCGAUAAACACACCGCCUGGGGAGUACGACCGCAAGGUUAAAACUCAAAUGAAUUGACGGGGACCCGCACAAGUAGUGGAGCAUGUGGUUUAAUUCGAAGAUACGCGCAGAACCUUACCAACACUUGACAUGUUCGUCGCGACUUUAAGAGAUUAAAGUUUUCGGUUCGGCCGGACGAAACACAGGUGCUGCAUGGCUGUCGUCAGCUCGUGUCGUGAGAUGUUGGGUUAAGUCCCGCAACGAGCGCAACCCUCACUUUUAGUUGCCAUCAUUUAGUUGGGCACUCUGAAAGAACUGCCAGUGAUAAGCUGGAGGAAGGUGGGGAUGACGUCAAGUCCUCAUGGCCCUUACGUGUUGGGCUACACACGUGCUACAAUGGUAUCUACAACAGAAGCAAGACGGCGACGUUAAGCAAAUCCUCAAAAGAUACCUCAGUUCGGAU